UAGUCCUUGUGCAGACCUGGCACGGGAGAUAAAGCAAGGUCAGGGCCUCCUUCCAGCCAGCCAGGACCCACGCGCGCUGCGGGGCACCGGGCCUGAUCCGGGGACGCCCCCUCUGGGAGAGGGCAGGGGCUCCCAAAGGGUUAAAGGCUCCAGCCCCCGCCACUCCUCGGCUGCCACCUGGUCGGCUCCGUGCGGUGCGCCAGGCCUAGCCAAGAGCCAGGCAAAGCGAAACCAAGCCCUGGAAGCAGAUCCGGUGCGGGUGACAGCCGGCGCCACCCCCGCCCCCAUCCCUGUGAAAAACAGGCGACUGCGCGGCGAGGGGUCCCCGAACCCUCAAUCCCGCCUGGUGGCUUGCCUGGGUUCCCUCCUUCCCUGGCCCACCUGCGCUGCUCUGGGAGCUGAGGUCUACGCGGUCCCGCUGCGGAGCAGGCGGUCAACAAUUUUGGAAGCCACAUAUUGAAGCUGGAGGAGCUCCAAGGUAGAAGGAGCCUGAGUUCCUGAAUUACUACUUAGAACUUCCCUUUAAGUAGAAACACUCAUGUAUGGGAGCAAGAGGUAACUCCUUUCACUCCUCCAUCCCUACCCUGCCUACAUGACAACUGAUCGCAAAGGCGAAGUAGAAAAGCCACUGGACUCCUGCAGCCUGGAAGCUUAAUGGUUCACACAGAAAGUAUCAGAAGUCUGUUCUUCUGUUCAAGGCGUGAUUC